UCAGUUGGGUGAGCGCCAUUCUGUGCAUCAAAAGUUGCCAGUUCGAUUCCUGGUCAGGGCACAUGCCUGGGUUUCAAUCCCCCUUGGGGGCAGGCGCAGAAGGCAACAGAUCAAUGUUUCUUUCUCUCCCCCUUUCUCUCUCCUCUCUGUAAGCAUGUCUGAAAUGAGAAAAAUAAAUGGUUAUGAUAGAGCAGGUGAAAAAUGUCCAACCAAAGCCUUUUGGUUAUUUCAGUAUGUGGGAUGAUCGUGCCUGAGGCUCUUUCUAGGUUCAUGUAUGAGCCAGGAAGGUAAUCCUGGUGAAGGUCAUCUUGGAAGUGGAAGUGUCAGCACAGAAAACAGAAUUGUAGGCAAUUAGACAGACAUGAGCAGAGCAAGGACGAUGGUCCUGGAGGUCAUUUGAGGGGAAAGCCCCGAUGGUGACCUUUCCUGCCCUGGCACAUCACUGAUUGUGCAAUUUGGACCCCCUGGCCUUUCCUGCCUGGAGAUAACACUGGGCCUCAGCUGUAUUUUAGCUGUAGGCA